rnacentral:rRNA from 1 species
AUUGAACGCUGGCGGCAGGCCUAACACAUGCAAGUCGAGCGAGCGGCGGACGGGUGCGUAAUGUCUGGGAAACUGCCUGAUGGAGGGGGAUAACUACUGGAAACGGUAGCUAAUACCGCAUACCAUCAGAUGUGCCCAGAUGGGAUUAGCUAGUCGGUGGGGUAACGGCUCACCUCGGCGCCGAGCCCUAGCUGGGCUGAGAGGAGGACCAGUCACACUGGAAAUGCGACACGGUCCAGACUCAUACGGGAGGCAGCAGUGGGGAAUAUUGCACAAUGGGCGGAAGCCUGAUGCAGCCAUGCCGCGUGUGUGAAGAAGGCCUUCGGGUUGUAAAGCACUUUCAGCGGGGAGGCGUUACCCGCAGAAGAAGCACCGGCUAACUCCGUGCCAGCAGCCGCGGUAAUAC